rnacentral:tRNA from 1 species
GGGGUUGUAGCUCAAUGGUAGAGCGCUUGCCUAGCACGUGUAAGGCAUUGGGUUCGAUCCUCAGCACCA